rnacentral:rRNA from 1 species
UACGUAGGGUGCGAGCGUUGUCCGGAAUUAUUGGGCGUAAAGAGCUCGUAGGCGGUGUGUCACGUCGGCCGUGAAAACCUGCAGCUUAACCCUGGACCUGCGUUCGAUACGGGCAGACUAGAGUUCGGUAGGGGAGACUGGAAUUCCUGGUGUAGCGGUGAAAUGCGUAGAUAUCGGGAGGAACACCAGUGGCGAAGGCGACUUCCUGGCCUGUUCUUGACGCUGAGCGCGAAAGCUAGGGUAGCAAACGGG